rnacentral:rRNA from 1 species
AACCGAGAACUCCUACGGGAGGCAGCAGUGGGGAAUUUUGGGCAAUGGGCGCAAGCCUGAUCCAGCCACUCCGCGUGAGUGAAGAAGGCCUUCGGGUUGUAAAGCUCUUUCGCAAGGGAAGAAAACUUAGGCUCUAACAUAGCCUGAGGUUGACGGUACCUUGAUAAGAAGCACCGGCUAACUACGUGCCAGCAGCCGCGGUAAUACGUAGGGUGCGAGCGUUAAUCGGAAUUACUGGGCGUAAAGCGUGCGCAGGCGGUUUUGUAAGUCAGAUGUGAAAUCCCCGAGCUCAACUUGGGAACUGCGUUUGAAACUACAAGACUAGAAUAUGUCAGAGGGGGGUAGAAUUCCACGUGUAGCAGUGAAAUGCGUAGAGAUGUGGAGGAAUACCAAUGGCGAAGGCAGCCCCCUGGGAUAAUAUUGACACUCAUGCACGAAAGCGUGGGGAGCAAACAGGAUUAGAAACCCGUGUAGUCCGACUGAGA